rnacentral:rRNA from 1 species
UGAGGAAUAUUGGUCAAUGGCCGGGAGGCUGAACCAGCCAAGUCGCGUGAGGGAUGACGGCCCUACGGGUUGUAAACCUCUUUUGUCGGGGAGCAAACGGCCUCACGAGUGGGGCUUCGAGAGUACCCGAAGAAAAAGCAUCGGCUAACUCCGUGCCAGCAGCCGCGGUAAUACGGAGGAUGCGAGCGUUAUCCGGAUUUAUUGGGUUUAAAGGGUGCGCAGGCGGAGUGUCAAGUCAGCGGUAAAAUUUCGGGGCUCAACCCCGGCGAGCCGUUGAAACUGACGCCCUUGAGUGCGCGAGAAGUAUGCGGAAUGCGUGGUGUAGCGGUGAAAUGCAUAGAUAUCACGCAGAACUCCGAUUGCGAAGGCAGCAUACCGGCGCGCAACUGACGCUCAUGCACGAAAGCGUGGGUAUCGAACAGG